rnacentral:rRNA from 1 species
UAAGCCCAUGAUGUACCCAAAAUCAGCCUGAAAACGAUCCUAGCCUCAACGAUCUAUUAACCGUCACGAAAGCUAGAAUACAAACUGGGAUUAGAUACCCCACUAUGCCUAGCCCUAAAUCUUGAUACUUCCCCCACUAAAGUAUUCGCCCGAGAACUACGAGCACAAACGCUUAAAACUCUAAGGACUUGGCGGUGCCCCAAACCCACCUAGAGGAGCCUGUUCUGUAAUCGAUAACCCACGAUACACCCGACCACUCCUUGCCAAAGCAGCCUACAUACCGCCGUCGCCAGUUCACCUCCCCUGAGAGAGCAACAGUGAACAUAAUAGCCCCACCCGCUAAUAAGACAGGUCAAGGUAUAGCCUAUGGAGUGGAAGAAAUGGGCUACAUUUUCUAAAUUAGAAAACCACGGAAAGAGAUAUGAAACCACCUCUGGAAGGCGGAUUUAGCAGUAAAGAAGGAUAAUAAAGCCACCUUUAAACUGGCCCUGGGGCACGUACAUACCGCCCGUCACCCUCCUCAAAAGCUACAACUCCCAACAUACCUAAUUUCUCAAUUAGCUAAAGAUGAGGUAAGUCGUAACAAGGUAAGUGUACCGGAAGGUGUACUUAGCAUA